rnacentral:pre_miRNA from 1 species
CUAAUAUUUCUCUCCUGAGAUUCGUUGACUAUUAUGAACGAAUCUCAGGAGAGAAAUAUUGG